AUUGAACGCUGGCGGCAGGCUUAACACAUGCAAGUCGAACGAUGAAACUCUAGCUUGCUAGAGAUGAUUAGUGGCGGACGGGUGAGUAACAUUUAGGAAUCUGCCUAGUAGUGGGGGAUAGCUCGGGGAACUCGAAUUAAUACCGCAUACGACCUACGGGUGAAAGGGGGCGCAAGCUCUUGCUAUUAGAUGAGCCUAAAUCAGAUUAGCUAGUUGGUGGGGUAAAGGCCCACCAAGGCGACGAUCUGUAACUGGUCUGAGAGGAUGAUCAGUCACACCGGAACUGAGACACGGUCCGGACUCCUACGGGAGGCAGCAGUGGGGAAUAUUGGACAAUGGGGGCAACCCUGAUCCAGCCAUGCCGCGUGUGUGAAGAAGGCCUUUUGGUUGUAAAGCACUUUAAGCAGGGAGGAGAGGCUAAUGGUUAAUACCCAUUAGAUUAGACGUUACCUGCAGAAUAAGCACCGGCUAACUCUGUG
rnacentral:rRNA from 1 species